CCUCCCCCUUUUUCUUUGCUGUUGUUCUGGGAUUGAUUUGCACUUUUCACACAAGUACUUUCAUCUCUAGGAGACAGAACGCAUCUCCUUCCUGAGUGGUAUGAUGGCUCCGUGGUCCCAUUGUGUUUAAACUUGCGUACUAUUGUUUGUACAGAUGAACGUGGUACCUUCAGGCAUUUGGAAAUUGCUCCCAACGAUGAACCAGACUUGUGGAUGUCUACAAAUGUUUUUCUUUGGUCUUGGAUGAUUUCUUUUGAUUUUCCCAUGAUGUCAAACAAAGAGGCACUGGGUUUGAAGACAAUACCAUGUGGUGCCUGGGCUUCUUCCUGAGUGGAUUCCAGAUAGAAAGAAACAUAAUUCCUCUGCUUUCCUGCGCCAUUGUAGCAGAACUGUAUCCCGUGAUCUGUAUCCCUCUGGACGGAUUGGACAUUAUGCUGGAUUUCAAGCAGAAAAUUACUCGAGGAGCUGAAUGGCAGUUUCAUCAUGACAACACUCCUCCCACAGCUGUACAAGUAUUUCCUGAACUUUACUACACCAAUCAUACUGUAUUUUCUUACUGUAUUUUAUUUGUGAAUGACAAUUUCAUCAUGACUCUCCCAUCAUCUGCUGAUCACCAGUUGUCUUUGCUACAGAUUGUUACACAAGGUAAUGUGAUUUAACCAGAGUUUUGGUAUCCAUUACUGGGAGUUACAGGAUAGGUACUGUUUGGUGAAGCACAGAGAAUUUUAGACCAACCUUAGCUUUGCAAUUCUCUCUACGUCCUCGAUUUGUGGAAACAUGAGUCUCAUAAAAUGUCUGUGUCCAAUUGCAGGGGGUCAGUUUGAAUUCAGAAGAUGCUCUGUUAUUAAAAUGAAUAACAUUUUUUUUUUGCUCCAUGAAGUAAUCCAACAAUGCGUACGCUGCUAUUUCAAGUCUUCUCUCUUUGAUCAAGACAGGUGUCUGUCAUGACAUGCAGCACUUUGGGGUGGACACCCACCUGUGAAAAAAAGAUCAGAAUUUGGCUGCCUGUGUAAACGCAGCUAUAGUCCUUUAUCUGGAUUCGGUAUACUGGCAAUGGUGUUUGGCAUGGUGUGCUGUGGAAGCGGAGACUAUUUGUGCUUGUGGCGAAUGGCCUUGUCCUGUCCGCGGUGUACAGCCAGUUGGAUAAGACUCUGCGGUGUAGGGUGUAGGAUGUGGUGUAGGGCUUCUAGACCGUAGCCCAUUCCUGCAGUCAAAUGGCCUAGUGGCCUCAUGGGUGGAAUGGUAUUUUAUAAUUAAUAAAAUAAAAACAUUUUAAACAGCCAAAAAUCCAGUGUUUCUAUGUCAAGCAGUUUUUGUUAUAUUUCAGUCUUCUGUGAUGUAUAUCAAGUGUAAUAUUGU
rnacentral:lncRNA from 1 species